rnacentral:rRNA from 1 species
UACGGAGGGUGCAAGCGUUAUCCGGAUUUACUGGGUUUAAAGGGUGCGUAGGUGGGUAGGUAAGUCAGUGGUGAAAUCUUCGAGCUUAACUCGGAAACUGCCAUUGAUACUAUUUAUCUUGAAUACUCUGGAGGUAAGCGGAAUAUGUCAUGUAGCGGUGAGAUGCUUAGAUAUGACAUAGAUCACCACUUGCGAACGCAGCUUACUACAUUGUUUUUGACACUGAGGCACGGAAGCGUGGGGAUCAAACAGG